rnacentral:sRNA from 1 species
UUAAAAUACUUCUUUAAAAAGAAUCGCUAGUGGUACAAAGAUAUUUAGAGGUGUUUAAAUGGUGGUUAUAUCCAUACGCUAUUAAUAAAUAAAUAGGAAUCUCGAUCUGAAUAGUAUCUUAAAAUAUUAAAAGUGACUUGAAGGAACCUUCAAGGUGUUUUCCUUGGUCUAUUUGUCCCUCUUCUAAAGUGGUUAUUGUCAUUGGCAUCACUGUUCGGCGGUUUGGUUGACUUAGACCCAUCCACUUCUAUAUGCUUCUAGCCGGGAAGAUGGCCAAAACCCACUUUUGGCCGACUCCGCCUUUUCUUUGCACUCGUUCGAGGGGAAAGCGGCUUCUCAUUUUCAAAUCCGAUUAGCAUCAUUUAGUUGGGCCACUGUUGUUGUCCUUGUGGAAGGGUCUAUUAUUUCCAUUAGAUUGAUUUCGCCUGAGGAGGUCCCAUUACGGUGUCCCAAACGGUUGGCAUCCCAAAGGUAAACUGACAUUCUAUGGAAAUGGGACUCUUUAUUGUGAAUACAAAAGUAUAUGUUGACUUUAUUUAUCUUUCCUCCUCGAGCCUCUGGCUGCGUUCCGGCAGACCUGCCGUAUCACCAGUUCCACCUGCUUGCGAUCCAUCUGAAACUUGUGUGUGGUCAGAAACACUAUGUUCUUCAGCUUCGAGGAAUUUAGCUUGGGCUUGGAAUGCUUGGCCAGGAGCACUGAGAACCUGCCAGGUCGCCCAGUCAAUGAAUAGGUUCCCAAUGUCUCUCGCCCAAAGACCAUGUGGCAUAGAUCACUGGUGGUAUUCUUGUAGCAGCUUCAGUCCAACAAUUGGUAGUGCGUAUCGGAAAUAAGUGUUGGAUUGGGACCGGUCUGAACUUGGGUUUUGCAAACUGACUCAUUUGGGUACCCUUCUUUCCGCAAGCUAUUACUUUUCACGUUCCAAUUGCUCCCCUUUAAUUUUUGCAACUUAUUUUCCUUUUUUUGAAUACCUUUCCUCGUAGCGUGGUUAGCUGCUGGGUUUUGAUCCACUGGCCCCAUUCUGAGAAGUUUCCAAGUGGCAUCAAAUGCAGAAAAUUAGAGUUGCUUGCACUCUUUUUUCAGGGAUGGGAGAAAGUUGUGACAAAACUAUCGAUAGGUUAAUAGAGCUAAGAUUUCCGAUUAGGUUCGAAGUUUACUGCAAGCUGUUCAAAAAGAAAAACAUAAAACAAGUAAAUCAAAAAUGAAGUAAAUCAUAACGUUUUCGGGCACAUUUAUGUUUGUGUAAACGGUCCAAUCAAUCGUUAGGAGCAUGCUUUUAAGUUUGGCAAAUAUGGUAUUAAAGAACCUGAAAUUUAAUUUCAAUUAUAUAUCUAGAUCCGAGUCUAAAUGGGAACGCAGGGAUAGACAAAUGCGACCUGGACUAGUGCCACCUCCACGACUGAGUGACUUCAAUUACCCCACACUCUUUUGGAUGGCAGAUGGCAAAGUGUUCCACUCGCCAAACAAGUUCCAGAUUGCAUCUUUAUCUCGGCCCGUACAUAUUCUUGCAGGCAAUAAAAGUUUCUGGGCAAUAAAUCUGCAAGUUUGUGGAGCGAGACCUCGAACCGAGCAGAGGAAAAACAUCUGCAGUCGGCGAUGCACACAAAUUGCCAAAGAGUUGGCCGUCGAACAGGUGGCCCUGGAUCGAGCGGCAGGCUGCGGAUGAGGAGGACAGGAUUUUAUGUCUUGCAGGUCACUGAUUCACUUGGCCUCCAUUUCGGCUUAGUUCUUUGCUGAACGUAAAAACUGCGACUCAAAGGUUUAUGGCCAGGCCGACUGUGAGCAGGACGACGAACAAACAAGCGGAGAGCUCGGAUUGGCGACAUCCUCCUGCAGGUCCUUGUUGCCGUGCUUGUUGUUGGCUGUCUGGCAGUUGGAAAAAUUGACUGCAUUGCCCACGGGUCAACAAAUAAAUUGGUUGGCCGAGCGGCGCGCCCUGCUGCCAUGUUGAUUUUGAGGUCAUCGCUGAUAUUGCGGAUGCGAAUCGUUUUUGAUUGCACCGGGCGGUUCCACUGGCAAUGCAGCACAGCCCCGAGAUGAUGCGGUAACCGCACUACUGUCAUUUACACUCCCAUUCCCAUACCCAAACUGAGUCCCAUUGCCACGGACAGAUGGACUCGGACUCCGGAUCCGAAGCUGACUACGGUCUGCAGUCUACGGUGUAUUAAUUGUGGUUGCGACUGGCCAUAAAAAGUCGGUGCGUCAAAUAUUUAUUACAAAUGACCGUGACAAGCGGAAGGACAUACGCAUUGGCAGGAUGAGAGCCAGUCGAGUUUUGUGUUUUCCCCGGAUUUUCCCUGGACUGCCCACC